GCAGUGCUGUAGCUGACCUGACUCAGCACAUCAGCCCAGGGUAUCCACAUUUCCCUGUUGGACUCGGGCUCUGAGCAUCAUCUCUCUUUCCAGCAGGCCACCACAGUGCCCUUUGGCCAUCACGAGUCACCCCAUCACCCUUGGACACCCCGUAGGUGGCCGGUCCCACGUCCCCAGCAUGCUGCUAGAUGCCCACACCAUGUGUCAGGGUUAUCAGGAGCGUGCCCAAAAAGCCAGGGCUUCCCCAAAACCUCCUCCCUGGCAGCUGAAGGCAGUUCUCAGCGUAGGAUGCAGAGGUGCUUGAUGUCUGUCAGUGCUCAAGAGGCAUUUGGACAAUGCUCUCAUUGAUAUGCUUUAACUUUUAGUUAGCUCUGAAGAGGUCGAGUAGUUGCAGUAGAGAUGACCUUUGAAGCUCUUCCAACAAAACUGUUCUGUUCUCUUCCACCUGUCCCGUCCCAUCCCCUCUCCCUCUUCUCUCCUUCUCCUCUCCUCUCUGAGAUAGCAUAAAGUUGCCAAUCUCAUUCUUUGUUUGGGGAGAUAAAACUCGAAAUAUGGUAAAACUGAUUUUUUUUUUCACCCAGAAGAGGCACAAAAACGCAGUGUUUUUCCCCCAUCUUCUUUCCCAGACCCACUGGUCUUUGCCGUGCACCAGAAACCACCAUCAUGCUCCAGUUUGCUCCCUGUAAGCUUGCCUAAACUCCGACGCUGUCAGCAGUUUACUGUGUCAGUCACCAGGAGACAUCCAGGACACCAAAACAGUCACGGCGUUGUGAAACCACUUGGCAUACAGGGCUUGCUGGCUGCCGGCACGCAGCUCCUGCACAUCACGGGAAGCGGGGACAACGCGUGUGAAGGCAGAAAGGACGGCGCUGCCGGCACCGGCAAUGCCCCAUGCUACGCCUGCGGAGAGCCUAGCAAAGAAGUACAAGCCAUGGUGAAAUCUGCUGUCAGGGCCCAACAGAGAGGCCCAAAAAAAUGCAGUCGAGCUAAACUGGUUGUGAAGAAACCCAAGUGCAGCAGAACCGGCCGCCAGUGCACUUUACAGGACUUGUGUCUACAUCUAAAGACAGAAAACGAUGAUUGGAAAACUAAUCACCUAGCCUUUACCGGGUUCUUCAGUCAGCUGGUUCUCCCCUUUGCUACUCUCCUGCUGCCCAAGGAGAGAUUUGUACAGUCAGGGCAUGAACGCUGCAAGUGAAAUACCGUGGGUGAGAAUGGAAAGCGUGUGGGGGGUCUGCUGAGAGGACAGCAAGGGUUGGUGGCACCAGGGAAGGUGGCCCGCCUAGGUCUGAGGCCAUCCAGCUCGUGGUCCUGCUUUGUUAGCAGUAGGCAUCUGCUCUAGGUCCCUUCCCUGCUCUUUGGCUUCUCAAAGUGGGUUACAAAGCCGAUUCCUUGUGCCAUGGACAGGGCUGGCACCCUGGGAUGUCACCGCUGUGAUAGGCUGCUUUGGACUGAAAUUUGGGACCAUUGUUCUGGGACUGCUGGUGUUUCGCACGCCCAUCACCAUGAUAUCUUCCAUGGCUCUGAGUGGCCUUUGCAGAGCUCCCCUACUACUGAGCCACCAGAAACGCGACCUGGGCAGCAAUUAAGGAGAGCUUGUGAAAGGCAUCUGCCCUCUAAUUCUUUGUUUCGCUUCUCAGCAUCCUUUUGGGGAAUAAAGUGAAACGUGGGUGCUAAAUAACGAUCGCU
rnacentral:lncRNA from 1 species